rnacentral:rRNA from 1 species
GAUGAACGCUAGCUACAGGCUUAACACAUGCAAGUCGAGGGGCAGCAUGGUCAAAGCUUGCUUUGACUGAUGGCGACCGGCGCACGGGUGAGUAACGCGUAUCCAACCUUCCCCUUAGUAGGGCAUAGCCCGGUGAAAAUCGGAUUAAUACCCUAUGUUGUUUUCUGCAGACAUCUAAUGAAAACCAAAGAUUCAUCGCUAAGGGAUGGGGAUGCGUCUGAUUAGGUUGUUGGCGGGGUAACGGCCCACCAAGCCGUCGAUCAGUAGGGGUUCUGAGAGGAAGGUCCCCCACAUUGGAACUGAGACACGGUCCAAACUCC